rnacentral:rRNA from 1 species
UACGUAGGGGGCUAGCGUUGUCCGGAAUCAUUGGGCGUAAAGAGCGUGUAGGCGGUCCGGUAAGUCCGCUGUGAAAGUCGGGGGCUCAACCCUCGAAUGCCGGUGGAUACUGUCGGGCUAGAGUGCGGAAGAGGCGAGUGGAAUUCCCGGUGUAGCGGUGAAAUGCGCAGAUAUCGGGAGGAACACCAAUGGCGAAGGCAGCUCGCUGGGACGUUACUGACGCUGAGACGCGAAAGCUAGGGUAGCAAACGGG